rnacentral:lncRNA from 1 species
CUGCAGCCCUGUGACCAAAGAGAUGGCACCAAAAGCGAAGGAAGCUCCUGCUCCUCCUAAAGCCAAAGCCAAAGCGAAGGCUUUAAAGGCCAAUAAGGCAGUGUUGAAAGGUGUCCACAGCCACAUGCAAAAAGAAGAUCCACAUGUCACCCACCUUCAGGUGGCCCAAGACACUGUGACUCCAGAGGCAGCCCAGAUAUCCUCGGAAGAACACCCCCAGGAGAAACAAGCUUGACCACUAUGCUAUCAUCAAGUUUCCGCUGACCACUGAGUCGGCCGUGAAGAAGACAGAAGAAAACUACACACUUGUGUUCAUUGUGGAUGUUAAAGCCAACAAGCACCAGAUCAAACUGGCUGUGAAGAAGCUCUAUGACAGUGAUGUGGCCAAGGUCACCACCCUGAUUUGUCCUGAUAAAGAGAAAAAGGCAUAUGUUCGACUCGCUCCUGAUUAUGAUGCUUUGGAU